rnacentral:rRNA from 1 species
AUUGAACGCUGGCGGCAGGCUUAACACAUGCAAGUCGAGCGGGGGAGGUUGCUUCGGUAACUGACCUUGCGGCGGACGGGUGAGUAAUGCUUAGGAAUCUGCCUAUUAGUGGGGGACAACAUUCCGAAAGGGAUGCUAAUACCGCAUACGCCCUACGGGGGAAAGCAGGGGAUCUUCGGACCUUGCGCUAAUAGAUGAGCCUAAGUCGGAUUAGCUAGUUGGUGGGGUAAAGGCCUACCAAGGCGACGAUCUGUAGCGGGUCUGAGAGGAUGAUCCGCCACACUGGGACUGAGGCACGGCCCAGACUCCUACGGGAGGCAGCAGUGGGGAAUAUUGGACAAUGGGCGGAAGCCUGAUCCAGCCAUGCCGCGUGUGUGAAGAAGGCCUUUUGGUUGUAAAGCACUUUAAGCGAGGAGGAGGCUACUAGUACUAAUACUACUGGAUAGUGGACGUUACUCGCAGAAUAAGCACCGGCUAACUCUGUGCCAGCCGCCGCCGUAAGAC